ensembl:lncRNA
ACCAUGAGGGUGGAACCAUGAUGAUGGAUCCAUGAGGAUGGAACCAUGAGGAUGGAACCAUGAGGGUGGAACCAUGAGGGUGGUACCAUGAGGGUGGAACCAUGAUGAUGGAACCAUGAGGGUGGUACCAAGGGAAUGGAACCAUGAUGAUGGAUCCAUGAGGAUGGAACAAUGGGGAUGGAUCCAUGAGGCAGCCUGAGGUUAGAUCUUCAACACUACUGACCAAACACCAUCACUCUGGCCCUAGCAUGUGUGUGUUAACGUGUUUUAACGUGUGUGUGUGUGUGUGUGUGUGUGUGUGUGUGUGUGUGUGUGUGUGUGUGUGUGUGUGUGUGUGUGGUAUCGUGGUGUGAAAAAUAAUUGUUACUUUUUUUGCAAUUUAAAAACGAUUAAAAGUUGCCGGGGACAACAUUUCCCUGGACCCUAGGCUACUGAAAAUGUUCCCGGACCCUAGGCUACUGAAAAUGUUCCCGGACCCUAGGCUACUGAAAAUGUUCCCGGACCCUAGGCUACUGAAAAUGUUCCCGGACCCUAGGCUACUGAAAAUGUUCCCAGACCCUAGGCUACUGAAAAUGUUCCCAGACCCUAGGCUACUGAAAAGGUUCCCAGACCCUAGGCUACUGAAAAUGUUCCCAGACCCUAGGCUACUGAAAAUGUUCCCAGACCCUAGGCUACUGAAAAUGUUCCCAGACCCUAGGCUACUGAAAAUGUUCCCAGACCCUAGGCUACUGAAAAUGUUCCCAGACCCUCGGCUACUGAAAAGGUUCCCAGACCCUAGGCUACUGAAAAUGUUCCCAGACCCUAGGCUACUGAAAAGGCUACUGAAAAUGUUCCCAGACCCUCGGCUACUGAAAAUGUUCCCUGACCCUAGGCUACUGAAAAUGUUCCCCGGACCCUAGGCUACUGAAAAUGUUCCCCGGACCCUCCGAUUUACAAAUUAAUCAGUGUGUGUGUGUGUGUGUGUGUGUGUGUGUGUGUGUGUGUGUGUGUGUGUGUGUGUGUGUGUGUGUGUGUGUGUGUGUGUUUGGGCAGAUUAGAAGUGUUGGGUCCUUCCUGGUAUGAAAAAGGGUGAAAGGUCACAAACCCCGGUUUGGGCAGAAUAGAAGUGUUGGUUCCUUCCUGCUAUGAAAAAGGGUGAAAGGUCACGAACCCGGGUUUGGGCAGAAUAGAAGCGUUGGUUUCUAUUAUUGAUGUUACUAUGUGGACCGGACUGGGUCUGUGUUUUUUAUUUUAUUUACCACAACUAGAACCCGUGGAACCGUCUAGACGUGUUGUUUCCUUGUGAUGAGAUUGCUGUGGAACAGGAUUAUUAUUAUUAUUGUUAUUGUUAUUAUUAUUAUGCAUCUGAUCAUCUAUUACUCUAAAUGACGACGAGCAAUAAAGUUGAGAUCCUUUUUCAAAUAUAUAUAUUGCAUGUUUUACUAAAAACGUUGGUCUUAGUCAAUAAAAAGAGUUUUUAAGACA